AUUGAACGCUGGCGGCAGGCCUAACACAUGCAAGUCGAGCGGAUGAAGGAAGCUUGCUUCCCGAUUCAGCGGCGGACGGGUGAGUAAUGCCUAGGAAUCUGCCUAUUAGUGGGGGAUAACUCGGGGAAACUCGGGCUAAUACCGCAUACGUCCUACGGGAGAAAGUGGGGGAUCUUCGGACCUCACGCUAAUAGAUGAGCCUAGGUCGGAUUAGCUAGUUGGUGAGGUAAUGGCUCACCAAGGCGACGAUCCGUAGCUGGUCUGAGAGGAUGAUCAGCCACACUGGAACUGAGACACGGUCCAGACUCCUACGGGAGGCAGCAGUGGGGAAUAUUGGACAAUGGGCGAAAGCCUGAUCCAGCCAUGCCGCGUGUGUGAAGAAGGUCUUCGGAUUGUAAAGCACUUUAAGUUGGGAGGAAGGUCUGUAAGCUAAUAUCUUGCAGUCUUAACGUUACCAACAGAAUAAGCACCGGCUAACUCUGUGCCAGCCGCCGCGGUAA
rnacentral:rRNA from 1 species